AUGAUGUAUGAUAAUUAUUUGCUCUUUGUCGACAGUCACUGUUGUCCGAACUCUCGGCUCUAUAAAUAGCCGCCCACGGUUGGCCGACAGCUGCUUUUUCUUGGAGUCUAACCGAUCGUAUACUGACUGGCCGUGCGUCCGUGUCCCCGUGUGUAUAUUUGUCCGCGUUGUUUACAACGUGCGAUUGCGAAUGUAGACAACCAUCAUCUGUCAUUUCGUUGCUGUGUCAAUCCUUUUAUGCACUGUCAGGACUGCCCAGCGAAUUGAACGUUGAGUUUCAAUAUGUCCAGCGAAACACGAUUUGUCAUACUUUGUUAUCGGUGACUGCUUCGAGACCAGAAUUGUUAUUACAAGUCGUUCCUCACUGCGGUGAUAAUCAACCAAGCUUACCUGAUAUGCAUGGUAUUGUCAUGAGAGCGCUUCGAGUGUCUAGUUGGAUGAAAGCGUAGAAAAAUAAAUUCCGGAAUCAAGCACUGCGCACCGAACGGGGCUGACAUAAAGAAGUUGGAGACCUGCUUGAAGAGCCUUUAUUUGUUCAACUUGAAGUAGCAAACAGUGUAUUCAAUGAAAACUGAAACAGAUACGAAGCUAACCUCCUACCCACAGUAGCACCAUAUUGGACAUCCAUGUUUCGUGAAGUGACAUUAGUGAACUAAAUUCAAUUGGAGAGAUUUUUUACAUCUAAACUGUCCAUACUCGUAUGUUUGUCCCGUAUGGAUUUUCGACUUAUUCGCAUUCUGCGGCGACCAGUAGUCAAUCGUCACCUCGAAGCAAUAUCCUGAAAGUCGUUUGAUUUCGCUGUAAUAAUUCACAAGUGUUAAAUAUUCAAAUUUUAUUCGAUAUACUGAUAA